rnacentral:rRNA from 1 species
GAGUUUGAUCCUGGCUCAGGAUGAACGCUGGCGGCGUGCCUAAUACAUGCAAGUCGAGCGAACAGAUAAGGAGCUUGCUCCUUUGACGUUAGCGGCGGACGGGUGAGUAACACGUGGGUAACCUACCUAUAAGACUGGAAUAACUCCGGGAAACCGGGGCUAAUGCCGGAUAAUAUUUAGAACCGCAUGGUUCUAAAGUGAAAGAUGGUUUUGCUAUCACUUAUAGAUGGACCCGCGCCGUAUUAGCUAGUUGGUGGGGUAAUGGCUUACCAAGGCAACGAUACGUAGCCGACCUGAGAGGGUGAUCGGCCACACUGGAACUGAGACACGGUCCAGACUCCUACGGGAGGCAGCAGUAGGGAAUCUUCCGCAAUGGGCGAAAGCCUGACGGAGCAACGCCGCGUGAGUGAUGAAGGUCUUCGGAUCGUAAAACUCUGUUAUUAGGGAAGAACAAAUGUGUAAGUAACUGUGCACGUCUUGACGGUACCUA